GUUUUUUUUCCGUUCAAUAAAAAUCGCAUUUAUUGCAUAUUGUAUUAUUUCGACUAGGAACGCAAUCGAGUGUAUAUAGGCAGAUAUUAUGUGUUCACUUGAAAUAUUCACCAAAGCCGAAGAACAUAGUUGUGUCACUGGAGAAACGGGCCAGGGUCGACAGUUGUCAACGGGCAAUUAUUAUUGUGUUCGAAUGCAACGUUUUUACGAAAAAAAAAAAAUAAUAAUAAUAACAAAAACGACACGACGAUAAAUUAUACAACUCGGUGCAUUCGAAAUGUUAAUAUUCUGCAUUACAGAUAAGACAUGGUGUCACAAUAUUUAUUAUGGUACACGUAUGUUAUCAAACAUUUUUUUCAGCCAUUCAUUUUUUUUUAUAAUUUAUCAUAAUUAUUAUUAUCAGAAGUGAUUAAUAUGGGCAAAAAAUAAACGUAAUUUAUGAUUUUA